AUCUCAAGAAGGUUAAGAUCUAUUUAGAUGGAAGAAUAGACCAUGUCAUUGCAGAUACAACAUUGAAUCUACCUCUCUCCAUGAGGAAUGGUUUCUUCAACGAUCGCGAAUGGUGAAAUGUUGCUUGAAGGACAUAUGAAUUGAGAGGCUCUGUCGGUGGUGAUAAUGGUAGUGAUGGUGGUAUUUAUUAAAAGUAAGUGGUUAAAAUUAUGUGCUGAUACUGUUUGAUUGCCAGUAAAAUGUUUUCCGUAAAAUAAUUUCUAGAAAAUGGUUUAUUUUUCUGUAAAAUGAUUUACCGGAAAAUAUUUUCUGGUGUUUGAUUGAAUCUGUGUAAAAUAUUUUUUGUUGUUUGGCGAAUUUCCUAAAAGUAUUUUUCGGAAAA